ensembl:snoRNA SNORD73 Small nucleolar RNA SNORD73
AAUGAAUGAUGACAAAAUGUUUUGGUCCCAAAUGAUACAUACUGAUUAUACUGUUAGAUUUAUUUCUGACAUU